UACGUAGGGUGCGAGCGUUGUCCGGAAUUAUUGGGCGUAAAGGGCUCGUAGGCGGUUUGUCGCGUCGGGAGUGAAAAUCCAGGGCUUAACUCUGGACUGGCUUCCGAUACGGGCAGACUAGAGGUAUGCAGGGGAGAACGGAAUUCCUGGUGUAGCGGUGAAAUGCGCAGAUAUCAGGAGGAACACCGGUGGCGAAGGCGGCAUCCUGGACCAACACUGACACUGAUGAGCGAAAGCCAGGGGAGCAAACGGG
rnacentral:rRNA from 1 species